AUGGCUGUCGUCAGCUCGUGCCGUGAGGUGUUGGGUUAAGUCCCGCAACGAGCGCAACCCCUAUCUUUAGUUGCCAUCAGUUCGGCUGGGCACUCUAUGGAGACUGCCACCUAAAGUGGAGGAAGGUGGGGAUGACGUCAAGUCAGCAUGGCCCUUACGUCCGGGGCUACACACGUGCUACAAUGGCCGGUACAAAGGGUUGCGAAGCCGUGAGGUGGAGCGAAUCUCAAAAAGCCGGCCUCAGUUCGGAUUGGAGGCUGCAACUCGCCUCCAUGAAGUCGGAAUCGCUAGUAACCGCAGAUCAGCUACGUUGCGGUGAAUACGUUCCCGGGCCUU
rnacentral:rRNA from 1 species